GGGGGUGUAACGCAGUGGUAGCGUGCUUCGUUUGCAAUCGGUGAUCAUUUCUCCGAAUUGAAGCUCGAAGAAGUCAGGUGUUCGAUCCACCUCUCCUCCA